rnacentral:rRNA from 1 species
UAGGGAAUCUUCGGCAAUGGGGGGAACCCUGACCGAGCAACGCCGCGUGAGUGAAGAAGGUUUUCGGAUCGUAAAGCUCUGUUGUUAAGGAAGAACGAGUGUGAGAAUGGAAAGUUCAUGCUGUGACGGUACUUAACCAGAAAGGGACGGCUAACUACGUGCCAGCAGCCGCGGUAAUACGUAGGUCCCGAGCGUUGUCCGGAUUUAUUUGGCGUAAAGCGAGCGCAGGCGGUCAAUUAAGUCUGAUGUGAAAGCCCCCGGCUCAACCGGGGAGGGUCAUUGGAAACUGGUUGACUUGAGUGCAGAAGAGGAGAGUGGAAUUCCAUGUGUAGCGGUGAAAUGCGUAGAUAUAUGGAGGAACACCAGUGGCGAAAGCGGCUCUCUGGUCUGUAACUGACGCGGAGGCUCGAAAGCGUGGGGAGCGAACAGG